rnacentral:rRNA from 1 species
UACGUAGGGUGCAAGCGUUGUCCGGAAUUAUUGGGCGUAAAGAGCUCGUAGGCGGUUCGUCGCGUCGGCUGUGAAAUCCCGAGGCUCAACCUCGGGUCUGCAGUCGAUACGGGCGGACUGGAGUACUGCAGGGGAGACUGGAAUUCCUGGUGUAGCGGUGAAAUGCGCAGAUAUCAGGAGGAACACCGGUGGCGAAGGCGGUUCUCUGGGCAUUACCUGACGCUGAGGAGCGAAAGUGUGGGGAGCGAACAGG